rnacentral:rRNA from 1 species
GACGAACGCUGGCGGCGUGCUUAACACAUGCAAGUCGAACGAAGAGCGAUGGAAGCUUGCUUCUAUCAAUCUUAGUGGCGAACGGGUGAGUAACGCGUAAUCAACCUGCCCUUCAGAGGGGGACAACAGUUGGAAACGACUGCUAAUACCGCAUACGAUCUAAUCUCGGCAUCGAGGAUAGAUGAAAGGUGGCCUCUACAUGUAAGCUAUCACUGAAGGAGGGGAUUGCGUCUGAUUAGCUAGUUGGAGGGGUAACGGCCCACCAAGGCGAUGAUCAGUAGCCGGUCUGAGGGGAUGAACGGCCACAUUGGGACUGAGACGCGGCCCAGACUCCUACGGGAGGCAGCAGUGGGGAAUCUUCCGCAAUGGACGAAAGUCUGACGGAGCAACGCCGCGUGAGUGAUGACGGCCUUCGGGUUGUAAAGCUCUGUUAAUCGGGACGAAAGGCCUUCUUGCGAAUAGUGAGAAGGAUUGACGGUACCG